GAUGAACGCUGGCGGCGUGCCUAAUACAUGCAAGUCGGACGGGGUAUUUGAGCAAUCGAAUACUUAGUGGCGAACGGGUGAGUAACGCGUUGGUGACCUGCCCCAAAGCGGGGGAUAACAGCCUGAAAGGGUUGCUAAUACCGCAUAUGGUCUAGAGAGAUUAGAAACUUUAGAUUAAAGGAGAAAUCCACUUUGGGAGGGGCCUGCGUCCCAUCAGCUAGUUGGUAGGUAAAAGCCUACCAAGGCGAUGACGGGUAGGGGACCUGAGAGGGUGACCCCCCACAAUGGAACUGAAACACGGGUCAGACACCUACGGGAGGCUG
rnacentral:rRNA from 1 species